UACGUAGGGUGCAAGCGUUAAUCGGAAUUACUGGGCGUAAAGCGUGCGCAGGCGGGUGUGUAAGACAGAUGUGAAAUCCCCGGGCUCAACCUGGGAACUGCAUUUGUGACUGCACGGCUCGAGUGCGGCAGAGGGGGAUGGAAUUCCGCGUGUAGCAGUGAAAUGCGUAGAUAUGCGGAGGAACACCGAUGGCGAAGGCAAUCCCCUGGGCCUGCACUGACGCUCAUGCACGAAAGCGUGGGGAGCAAACAGG
rnacentral:rRNA from 1 species